UUUCCGUAGGUGAACCUGCGGAAGGAUCAUUAUCGUAUCACCGAUGUGUGAGUGCUAUCUUUGACCCGAAAGUUCGUGCACGCCUGAUUGACCUCACACACAUCUAUCCCACCCCUAUGUUCUCCACCACAUGGGUCCCCCUUUGGCUUGUUCGGUGAGGGGCUUACGUUUUCACACAUACUUUGUAUACUAUGUAGAAUGUAUUUUUUGUUUUUGCGAUCACGCAAUCAAUACAACUUUCAACAACGGAUCUCUUGGCUCUC
rnacentral:misc_RNA from 1 species